GAUCAUGGCUCAGGAUGAACGCUGGCGGCGUGCUUAACACAUGCAAGUCGAGCGAAGCGCUUAUGAAAGAUUCUUCGGAUGAAUUCAUUUGUGACUGAGCGGGCGGACGGGUGAGGUAACACGUAGGUAACCUGCCCAUGUGCCCGGGAUAACUUCUGGAAACGGAUGCUAAAACCGGAUAGGUAGCAGACAAGCAUUUGACUGCUAUUAAAGUGGCUAUGGCCAUGAACA
rnacentral:rRNA from 1 species